GAUGAACGCUGGCGGCGUGCCUAAUACAUGCAAGUCGAGCGAACGGACGAGAAGCUUGCUUCUCUGAUGUUAGCGGCGGACGGGUGAGUAACACGUGGAUAACCUACCUAUAAGACUGGGAUAACUUCGGGAAACCGGAGCUAAUACCGGAUAAUAUUUUGAACCGCAUGGUUCAAAAGUGAAAGACGGUCUUGCUGUCACUUAUAGAUGGAUCCGCGCUGCAUUAGCUAGUUGGUAAGGUAACGGCUUACCAAGGCAACGAUGCAUAGCCGACCUGAGAGGGUGAUCGGCCACACUGGAACUGAGACACGGUCCAGGCUCCUACGGGAGGCAGCAGUAGGGAAUCUUCCGCAAUGGGCGAAAGCCUGACGGAGCAACGCCGCGUGAGUGAUGAAGGUCUUCGGAUCGUAAAACUCUGUUAUUAGGGAAGAACAUAUGUGUAAGUAACUGUGCACAUCUUGACGGUACCUAAUCAGAAAGCCACGGCUAACUAUGUG
rnacentral:rRNA from 1 species